rnacentral:lncRNA from 1 species
AAGAGGUUUUCAGCUCCAUGAUGAGGAUGAUGAUGAUGAUGAUUCUGAUGAGGAUUUUAGUGAUGACGAGGAGCUGCAGACCCCGAUAGAUGAGGUUGAUCCAUUUAUCUUCUUUGUUGGAACCAUCCAAGGUAGAGAAUAUUUCCCACUGUACAUUCUUUUGCAGUACUUAUUUGUGCCCAAAAGUUGCUGACAAGGCAAUAAUUAUUUUGUCCAGCUGUACAAGCAUCCGACCCAGCCAGGUUCCAGAGCCUUAUGCAGACACUGGAUUUUCACUACCAGGCACUGGCUAAUGGCGUUGCUCAGCAUGCCGAGGAAAGAAAAGUUGAAAUUGAGAAAGAGAAGUUGGAGAAAGCAAAUGCACAGUGAUGAAUGAAUUAUAGCAAUGGUUGUUUGUCUUGAGUUUUGUUGCAGGCCAGUGCCCGUGAUUUGGUGAUCGCAGGCAAUGGGUUUUUGCAGCCUUGGUCUACUUGUUUUUGGAGGCCUGAGGCACACAGUUCUUGGAAUAGAAGAAGUCGACAACAGAACCAUCGUGGAUAAUCUCUUGCAGCCUCGGUCUAUUUGUUUAUGGGCAGUGCGAGCCCUACAGAUGAUACUACACACUUGUUAUGAUGCUGUUUUGGUCCUGAGCUCCGGCUCCGUUUGGUCGAUGGAAUUUGUUAAAUGAGCCCUGUGGUUGGGGCGCGUCCCCAAGUUCGCUUAUAGACUAGGAAUGUCCGGUGUAGAGUGUAUAUGAUUGGGCGGUUAUUGGUGGAUUACCAAUACGAUGGUUUCAUUUUUUUUAUGUCGUUGCAGGAUUCAGUGAAUCCAUUUUUGUCCGUACGAUUUGUUGAACAUCGUUCAAGCAUGUCUCUGUAUGGUUUGACAGAGGCUGGUGAAAUAAACUUUGCCUGCAUCUGGUAACCUGGAUAUGGUUAUGAUUACUAUCGCAAUGCAUAAGUUUUUUUGUGUGAUAUUUG